GACGAACGCUGGCGGCGUGCUUAACACAUGCAAGUCGAGCGGUAAGGCCCUUUCGGGGGUACACGAGCGGCGAACGGGUGAGUAACACGUGGGUGACCUGCCCUCAGCUCUGGGAUAAGCCUGGGAAACCGGGUCUAAUACCGGAUAUGACUCCAUGACGCAUGUUGUGGGGUGGAAAGCCUUGUGCGGCUGAGGAUGGGCCCGCGGCCUAUCAGCUUGUUGGUGGGGUGAUGGCCUACCAAGGCGACGACGGGUAGCCGGCCUGAGAGGGCGACCGGCCACACUGGGACUGAGACACGGCCCAGACUCCUACGGGAGGCAGCAGUGGGGAAUCUGCGCAAUGGGCGAAAGCCUGACGCAGCGACGCCGCGUGAGGGAUGACGGCCU
rnacentral:rRNA from 1 species